rnacentral:rRNA from 1 species
CUGGCUCAGAUUGAACGCUGGCGGCAGGCCUAACACAUGCAAGUCGAGCGGUAGAGAGAAGCUUGCUUCUCUUGAGAGCGGCGGACGGGUGAGUAAUGCCUAGGAAUCUGCCUGGUAGUGGGGGAUAACGUUCGGAAACGAACGCUAAUACCGCAUACGUCCUACGGGAGAAAGCAGGGGACCUUCGGGCCUUGCGCUAUCAGAUGAGCCUAGGUCGGAUUAGCUAGUUGGUGAGGUAAUGGCUCACCAAGGCGACGAUCCGUAACUGGUCUGAGAGGAUGAUCAGUCACACUGGAACUGAGACACGGUCCAGACUCCUACGGGAGGCAGCAGUGGGGAAUAUUGGACAAUGGGCGAAAGCCUGAUCCAGCCAUGCCGCGUGUGUGAAGAAGGUCUUCGGAUUGUAAAGCACUUUAAGUUGGGAGGAAGGGCAGUUACCUAAUACGUGAUUGUUUUGACGUUACCGACAGAAUAAGCACCGGCUAACUCUGUG